AUUGAACGCUGGCGGCAUGCUUUACACAUGCAAGUCGAACGGUAACAGGCCUUCGGGUGCUGACGAGUGGCGAACGGGUGAGUAAUGCAUCGGAACGUACCCAGAGGUGGGGGAUAACGCAGCGAAAGCUGUGCUAAUACCGCAUGUGAUCUGAGGAUGAAAGCGGGGGACCGAGCAGCAAUGUUUGGCCUCGCGCCUUUGGAGCGGCCGAUGUCGGAUUAGCUAGUUGGUGGGGUAAAGGCCUACCAAGGCGACGAUCCGUAGCUGGUCUGAGAGGACGACCAGCCACACUGGGACUGAGACACGGCCCAGACUCCUACGGGGGGCAGCAGUGGGGAAUUUUGGACAAUGGGCGCAAGCCUGAUCCAGCAAUGCCGCGUGCGGGAAGAAGGCCUUCGGGUUGUAAACCGCUUUUGGCAGGAACGAAACGGUGUCCGCUAAUACCGGGCGCUAAUGACGGUACCUGCAGAAUAAGCACCGGCUAACUACGU
rnacentral:rRNA from 1 species